UACGUAGGGUGCAAGCGUUAAUCGGAAUUACUGGGCGUAAAGAGCUCGUAGGCGGUCUGUCGCGUCUGCUGUGAAAACUCAGGGCUUAACCCUGAGCUUGCAGUGGGUACGGGCAGACUAGAGUGCGGUAGGGGAGACUGGAAUUCCUGGUGUAGCGGUGAAAUGCGCAGAUAUCAGGAGGGAACACCGGUGGGCGAAAGGCGGGUCUCUGGGCCGUAACUGGACGCUGGAGGAAGCGAAAGCUAGGGGAGCAAACGGG
rnacentral:rRNA from 1 species